GAUGAACGCUGGCGGCGUGCUUAACACAUGCAAGUCGAACGAAGCAUUUAAGACAGAUUACUUCGGUUUGAAGUCUUUUAUGACUGAGUGGCGUACGGGUGAGUAACGCGUGGGUAACCUGCCUCAUACAGGGGGAUAGCAGCUGGAAACGGCUGGUAAUACCGCAUAAGCGCACAGUACCACAUGGUACAGUGUGAAAAACUCCGGUGGUAUGAGAUGCACCCGCGUCUGAUUAGCGUGUUGGCGGGGUAACGGCCCACCAAGGCGACGAUCAGUAGCCUACGAGAGAGGGUGACCGGACACAGUGGGACUGAGACACGGCCCAGACUCCCACGGGAGGCAGCAGUGGGGAAUAGUGCACAAUGGAGGAAACUCAGAUGCAGCGACGGCGCGUGAGUGAAGAAGUAGUGCGCUAUGUAAAGCUCUAUCAGCAGGGAAGAUAGUGACGGUACCUGAAGAAGAAGCUCCGGCUAAAUACGUG
rnacentral:rRNA from 1 species